CACGUAGGAGGCAAACGUUAUCCGGAUUUACUGGGCGUAAAGCGCGUGUAGGUGGUUCUGUAAGUAGGGCGUGAAAGCUCCUGGCUCAACUGGGAGAGGCCGUUCUAAACUGCAGAGCUAGAGGAUGGUAGAGGGAGGUGGAAUUCUAGGUGUAGCGGUGGAAUGCGCAGAUAUCUGGAGGAACACCAGUGGCGAAGGCGGCCUCCUUGACCAUUCCUGACACUCAGACGCGAAAGCUAGGGUAGCAAACGGGAUUAGAUACCCUGGUAGU
rnacentral:rRNA from 1 species